rnacentral:rRNA from 1 species
CCUUGUACACACCGCCCGUNACACCAUGGGAGUGGGUUUGCUCCAGAAGGCGUUAGUCUAACCGCAAGGGGGACGACGCCCACGGAGUGGUCCAUGACUGGGGUG